UACGUAGGGUGCAAGCGUUAAUCGGAAUUACUGGGCGUAAAGCGUGCGCAGGCGGUUGUGCAAGACAGAUGUGAAAUCCCCGGGCUCAACCUGGGAAUGGCGAUGAAGACUGCAAGGCUAGAGUUUGGCAGAGGGGGGUAGAAUUCCACGUGUAGCAGUGAAAUGCGUAGAUAUGUGGAGGAACACCGAUGGCGAAGGCAGCCCCCUGGGUCAAAACUGACGCUCAUGCACGAAAGCGUGGGGAGCAAACAGG
rnacentral:rRNA from 1 species